GACUGCUCUGUGGCCUAGUGGUCAGAGUGUCUGCCUCAGAUGUGGAAGGUUGUGGGUUUGAAUCCCAGCUGAGUCA